CGUUUACAGCAUCUUGGUCCACAAUGAGAAUUUUAGAAAAAACAAACCCCCAAACUGACAAAUGCACGCAGCCACACGCAGAACAUUCACAAUGGCUGUGGGCUUGCCAGGGCAAACAUCACUUAAGAAUUCUAGCACUGUGUAUUAUUAGUACUAUCUUCCCAUUUUCCUGGAAAGAAGGGAUAUUUUUACUUCGAAAAAGGCAACCUUUCGGAGCUGGGAGGCUGUUAGCUUGUGAAAUUGGCUGGCUUUUCACUAGCAAAGGUACUCAUUGACCUACGAAGUUUGAUGAGUAACAUCUCUGAAAGGGCAUGGAGGUAUACUGGAUUAAAUCGCCCACAUUCUACUGAUGAUGAAUAGGAAAACUGGUUGUAUCAGGCAGCUGAAAUGGAUAAUUAAGGUGAAUUGAUUCUCUAGGGAUGCCAAGCAACCACCUUUCCUGAUCCCUGAAUUACCUCAGAAAAAAUAAAUGAUAAUGCA